CCUGAUCAGUAGGUAUUGAUACGUACGGACCCCUGAUCAGUAGGUAUUGAUACGUACGGACCCCUGAUCAGUAGGUAUUGAUACGUACGGACCCCUGAUCAGUAGGUAUUGAUACGUACGGACCCCUGAUCAGUAGGUAUUGAUACGUACGGACCCCUGAUCAGUAGGUAUUGAUACGUACGGACCCCUGAUCAGUAGGUAUUGAUACGUACGGACCCCUGAUCAGUAGGUAUUGAUACGUACGGACCCCUGAUCAGUAGGUAUUGAUACGUACGGACCCCUGAUCAGUAGGUAUUGAUACGUACGGACCCCUGAUCAGUAGGUAUUGAUACGUACGGACCCCUGAUCAGUAGGUAUUGAUACGUACGGACCCCUGAUCAGUAGGUAUUGAUACGUACGGACCCCUGAUCAGUAGGUAUUGAUACGUACGGACCCCUGAUCAGUAGGUAUUGAUACGUACGGACCCCUGAUCAGUAGGUAUUGAUACGUACGGACCCCUGAUCAGUAGGUAUUGAUACGUACGGACCCCUGAUCAGUAGGUAUUGAUACGUACGGACCCCUGAUCAGUAGGUAUUGAUACGUACGGACCCCUGAUCAGUAGGUAUUGAUACGUACGGACCCCUGAUCAGUAGGUAUUGAUACGUACGGACCCCUGAUCAGUAGGUAUUGAUACGUACGGACCCCUGAUCAGUAGGUAUUGAUACGUACGGACCCCUGAUCAGUAGGUAUUGAUACGUACGGACCCCUGAUCAGUAGGUAUUGAUACGUACGGACCCCUGAUCAGUAGGUAUUGAUACGUACGGACCCCUGAUCAGUAGGUAUUGAUACGUACGGACCCCUGAUCAGUAGGUA